CCAAGAUUCCUGGAGGAGCUGGGCCUGCCUCCAAUUACGGUUCAAGACUGGAUUCUGAGCCCACUGGGAGGAGGACCACGCCAACAACGAGCACCCCGGAGACGGGGGGACAACCCACCAAGAGGUCCGGCACCCCGCAGACGUAACAACCCGGAGGUGCCGGAGUAACAGAUAAGCCCUCAGCCAUCUACUCUCUACCCAUG